rnacentral:lncRNA from 1 species
CAUUAUUAACUAUAUAAAAAUACAAAUAUAUAGAUUAUUAAUUAACAUUUAAAAAUCAUCAUCCUAUAUUAUCAACAAAUUCCAUAAACUUAUCUACAAAUUUUAUAAACCUAUCUACAAAUUCCCCCUACACUAACCACCUAAACUAAUUACCCUAAACUAACCACCUAAACUAUAAAUUAGAAGGGGGAGAGGAAGUGACUACGAAAUGAGAAGUGAUUUGGUUCGGGUAUAUAUAAACUUAUAUAUUGUCGUAAAAAUCUCGUGAAGUUACGACAAUUUUACGAGGAAUUAGCAAGGACCACGUUUUCUUUUUUACGUUUCGUCGUAAAGCCCACCUAAACUUACGAGGAAUUAGCAAGGUCAGUGUUUUAUUUUACGACGAAUUAGCAAGGCCCGUGUUUUCCUUUACGACGAUUUUACGAGGAAAAUAUGUAAAUCCCUAUAAGCCGAAACACCAAGGCUCGUGUUAUUAAAUUUCGUUUUAAAAUCCUCGGUAAUUACGAGUAUUUUACGACGAAGAUUUUAUAUUUACAAAAAAAAAACAAAGGGAGACUGUCACCAGAAGGGUCGUUAUUAAUUCCAAAUAGCAUUUGAAACUGAUCAGAACUGUUCUGGUGACAGUGCACUCCCUUCAGGUUUUUUCAAACUAUUGUUUAGUUUUUUUUGUGGAAGUUUAGAAUGGGAGGGGUGUGCUUAUUUAUAGAAGUAGUUGUAGUCAUAAAAUCCUCGUUAUUUAACGAGGCAAUAACAAGGCCCGUGUUUUCAUUUUCGUCGUAAAAUCGUCGUAACAUUACGAGGAAAUAAGAAGGCCCAUGUUUUCUUUUUGACGAAUUAGCAAGGCCCGUGUUUUCAGUUUCGUCGUAAAAUCGUCGUAACAUUAAGAGGAAAUAACAAGGCCCGUGAGGAAAUAACAAGGCCCGUGUUUUUAUUUACGAGGAAAUAACAAGGCCCGUGUUUUUGUACGACGAUUUUGCGAGGAAAUUAUGAAAAUCCCUAUCACCCGAAACCCCAAACCCCAAGUUCCUUAACUUCAUCUAUCACUCAAUCUCUUCUUUCUAAACCCCAAACCCCCAAUUGAGUUACACAAAAUCAAAUUAUAUAAUUUAAUUUUCAUGAUUAGACAAACUAAACACAUGCAUUAACUCUAAAUAUAAAUCAUAUUUAAGAAAAUUACAUCAUCAUUCGGAUACAUUAUUGACAUUCUCGUCAUCACUAGAAACAUCAUCAUUUUCAUUAAACUCGUCUUCAACAUCUUUGUCCGUCGUAUCGGGAAGAUCUUCGUACUCACGAUUAUGCGGAUCAAUAAGAAGGAUGUCAUCAGUUUGUUGUUCAGGUUCCUCGACUUCAUUGAUGUGUUCUUCUUGCAAUGGUAGUUCUUCUCCACCGAUUAACGUCCACGAGGUGUAACUUUGACAUAGGCAAAUCAAUUGAUUCCAGAUUCUCUCAUCCGAGAGUAUGGAAGGAAGCUGACUUGGUCUGCUUGUGAAGUUAAUAUGAAAGGCUCGAAUUUGUUGUACCUUCGUCCACCAUUGAUAUCAACUACACCGAAUUUGUUAAAUCGAACACCUCGGUUGAUGACGGUGUCGAACCAGUCACAUUUGAAGAGGACACAUUUCAGCUUCAAUAACCCUGGGAAUUACACUUCAAUAAUCUCCUGUAAUAUCCUGUCGAAAUCUGUUUCGCCUUUCACACAUAUUCCAUAAUUACUUGUCGCCCGAUGUCUACCAUACUCAUAUGUAUGAAAAGUAAAUCCUCGUGUGAAAUACAUCGGUGAUGUGGUUACCUUUGCAACUGGACCUUGAAUUAAUUCAUGAAACCAUGUGGGGUAAUCUGGAUCGUCAUAAUCAACCUGCAAAAAUAAAGAGAACGUUAAAAUUAAUUAAUCAUACUAACGGCGAAUACGGAUCAUAUGCCAACUUACAAAAUUGGGUUAAUACCUGACCCUUCAACCACUUAAUAAAGUGUUGAUAUUUCCUUUUGUCUACCUCACAUUUGGAUAUACAUGAGUUUGUUUCUUUGACUUGAGAAACAAAUAGGCUGUAAAAUCAUAUUUUCUACUAAUUAAUCAUUUGAAAAUUAUAUAAUUUAUACAUAUAUGUGUUUAGAAGUUUCAAUAUAUGUUACCUUUCAAAAUAACGUAUCAAUAGAUUCUCGCAAUUGAGUAGAAUAUAUGUGUGUGCACUAUGGGCGUCUUCACCACUUGACCACCAAACCUCUUUCAAUUUCCCACCGAAUCGCCCUAUCUGGCAAAAGAUGUCUGGAACACCAGCAACUGCAUAUGUUGGCGUGACACCACCAUCGUCAUAUCUUCUUGGAGCUGUUUUCCGGGUACAUACUUUUGGUGCAAAGUAGUACGAUGUGAAGUGAGAUGUUUCUUCUGUCAAACUUCCAGCAAUUAUAGAACCUUCAACUUGUCCAUUGAUUUUUAUAUGUCACUCGCUUCUUGAGCAAAUAUCAGGCAAGUCCAACCUCGAUUUUUUUGUUGUCUUUUGUCUUCCCUGGGACAUUCAAUAUUGUAUUCAUGAUGUUUUCAAAAACAUUCUUCUCUAUAUGCAUCACAUCGAGGUUGUGGCGCAAAAGAAGAUCUUUACAAUAUGUCAACUCCCAAAAUAUACUCUUUUUGUGCCAGUUGUGCUGACCUCCGUAAAAAUCAGGCAUAUUACCGGGAACAUGCCAAUUACCACCAUAACAAACUGUUUCGUUAGCUCAGUAGUAAUCGAUUUGCGCUUCAAUUUCUUCUCCAGUUAAAUAUGGAGGAGGAGUGUCUCUCACAACCCUUUUGUGCCUAAACAAUUUCUUGUUUCUUCGGUACGGAUGGCUAAUGGGAAGAAAUCGACAGUGACAAUCGAACCAACUUGUCUUCCUACCAUUCUUCAGUUGAAACGCAUAUGUCGUUCCAUUACAAUAAGGACAAGCUAAUCUCCCAUGUGUAGUCCAUCCAGACAACAUCCCAUAGGCAGAUGUGAAGUGAGAUGUUUCUUCUGUCAAACUUCCAGCAAUUAUAGAACCUUCAACUUUGGCGAGGUUUUUUGCUUUUCCCUUCAAAUAUUUCAUGGUCCACUCAUACUGAUACAUCCAUCCGUAAUGUACUGGUCCACGAAGAAAUGCCUCAUACGGGAGGUGGAUAGCUAGAUGCUCCAUGACGUCAAAGAAUGCCGGAGGAAAGAUCUUCUCCAAGUUGCACAAGAAGAUGAGAAUGUUCUCAUGAAGUUGUUCUGCGACAUCCUCUAAGAAUGUGUGUGCUCAUAUCCCUGAAAAAUGCUCAAAUGCCUUCAAUAUUCCAAUUAAACACAUUAUUAGUCAUAUUAUUUAUGCGUGUAUAUUACAGAGCAACAAAGAAAUUAAUGCGUAAUUAAUAUAUUACCUGCAAGUGCUUCAUAUACAUUUGUUGGACAUGAAAAUCAUGACUCUUCAUCCCGGAGAACUUUCGACCCUUUUCAACACAUCUAGAGAGAUUUGAAACAUACCCAUCGGGAAACUUCACUUCUGAUGCCACCCAGUUGAACAACACCAACUUUUGUUCGGAAGACAAUCUGAAUAUCGAAACGGGAACUUGUCCAUUGCUUUUUGUAUGUAACCCGCUUCUUGAGAAAAUAUCACAUCGAAUAACGGAACGAGAACUUGUCCAUUGCUUUUUAUAUGUAACCCGCUUCUUGAGCAAAUAUCAGGCAAGUCCAACCUCGAUUUUUUGCUGUCUUUUUGUCUUACCUGGGACAUUCAAUAUUGUAAAAGUGGGGUCAAACAUUUCCUCGUAAAAGCCACGUAACACAUUUCCUCGUAAAAGACACGUUAACUGUUUCCUCGUAAAAGACACGUAAACUUAUUCGUCGUAAAGAACACGUAAAUCAUUUCCUCGUAAAAAGCACGUAAUUUAUUCCUCGUAAAGUACACGUAAAAAAUUUAUUCUCGUAAAGUACACGUAAAUAAUUUCCUUGUGAAGUAGACGCUCAGUUUCGUCGUCGUUUUCUCGUUAAUAAUUUUCAGUUUCCUCGUUAAUUAAAGGUAAAUUAGCUACGAAUUUGCUUCGAUUCUUUAUUUUUUACAAAAACAAAAAUAUAAUCAAAAAUAUUUUUAAAUUUAUUUCAAAAUUCUUAAAAAUAUAAAUAAAAACAAAAAUAUUUUAUAAAUAUUUAAGUUUCAAAUUUUUAAUACAAAAAAAAAGAAGAAAAAAAGCUAAGGGUUGUUGGAGGGGCAGAGCGCGUCGAAGAACUCUUGACUCCUCAUCUGCACAUCUUCUUCAAUGUGAGAUGGCUCUGGAAUGAGAUUUUGUGUCCGCACCUGAGGAUGUCCGUACGCCAGAACGUCUAAAAUGCCCUCGAAUGAAGUCAUAUGAGCUGUAAACGCAGACCGCGUGGAGUUCAACUCGGAACGCAGCUCAGUGACUUCAUCAGCCCGUCUCUGACUUCAUCAGCCCGUCUCUGACCAUAAGACGAUGUCGCUCUUGGGACAUCGUUGACGGAACCAAUCCCCAACGUACAUCCCUUUUUCUUUGGGACAACCUUAAAAAAAAAAUAACGUUAGUAAUUAAAAAUUAGAUUAAAUGAAUAAUAAUAAUUAAAGAUUUUUAAAAAAUUUAUCUCCUCGUAAAUCUGAUACACUUCAAGUGUGGAUAAUGUGACCGGUAUUCCAUCGGGAGACUGCUGGGUCAGCUGGAUUUGGCGAUCUUCAAUUCAAGCAACCACGUCGUUGUAGAUUUGCUCAGACCUAGGAUCAACAAAUUUCCAAGCCUUGUUCUUGUGGGUCCUCUCGUAAAGAUCCUUAAGAGAACGGAGAAUUCACGUCUCUUUGGCCUAAAAACAUUUAAGAAGUUAGAAUAUAUAUAUAUAUAUAUUAAAAAAAAUAAAGUAAUUAAAAUAUUUAAUUACAAUCUCCAAACAGACACCGACGUGAAGUUUUUGACCCGUGAUGUGAAGCAUCGGCCCGUUGCCAUGCUCAUCUUUCGUCAGACGGGAGGCGGAGCAACUGUCGGAGACUUUAAUGGACGAUGGUAGGUUCCAAUAACGGAUGAGGUCAUCCCACACACGCGUGGUGAGCUGAGCGGGUUUUCCUUGCACAUAACCCUUCAAGAUCCAAUCAUCCUUCCAGUUGGAUACCGUGUCCAGCAAUCAUUUUUCGCCUUCCCUUCGAACGCAUUCUUCACCCUCUCGUUCACCCCUAUGGACCAAUGAUAUUUUUGCUGCAAAAAAAAAAUAGAUUAGUAAUUACUUUAAAAAUAAUAAUUCGUAAUAAUAAAAAAAUAGAUUAAUAGUAACUUACGACAAACAUUUUGAACCACGUAUUUCUGAUGUCGAUCGGCGUCGAUUUCCAGUUUGGAUGGGCGUGGGGGGAAGUAGCCUUUGAUCACUUCGGUAACGUUCCGAGCGACAGAAGUGUCAACCCCAAGCCUGAAAGAAACAAAAAAAAAUGUGUUAGCUUAAUUAUUUUUUGUUAUAAAACAAGUGCACAAUAAAAAUGUAACAUACCACAAAGUUCCAUUCGAUCGGUCGGGGUCGAAGACUGGUAAACCUCUUCUGCCUGGCUGAACAAGAAUUUUCUCAACGGUGUACAUAGCAUAAGGAGCACUCGGUGGCACCAGCAAAUCGGGAUGAAUCUCGUCCGGCACCAUCGGAGGAGGUGCCUCCUCAGGAACAUGAUCAUGAUGCGCAGGUGGCGUAUCAAACAGAGGAACCGGUGGCGGAACAUAUGGAGGUGUCUGAGAGACUCACUGAGAAGACUGAGAGUCUCCGGAAACGAAGAACUGGGAACUGAAGAAGAUGAUGUGCUUGUACGAGUACCAGGCUCACUAAACAUCUGACUUUAAUGCUGUGUACGACGCUUGUUCUUUCGAACCAUCUGAAAAAAAAUUUAACUGUCAUUAUUAACCAUAUAAAAAUAUAAAUAUAUAGAUUAUAUACGAGUACCAGGCUAACCAAACAUCUGACUUUAAUGCUGUGUACGACGCUUGUUCUUUCGAACCAUCUGAAAAAAAAAAUUAAUUGUCAUUAUUAACCAUAUAAAAUAUAAAUAUAUAGAUUAUUAAUUAACAUUUAAAAAUCAUCGAUCAUCCUAUAUUAUCUACAAAGUCCAUAAACCUAUCUACAAAUUCCAUAAACCUAUCUACAAAUCCCCUACACUAACCACCUAAACUAAUUACCCUAAACUAACCACCUAAACUAUAAAUUAGAAGGGGGAGAGGAAGUGACUACGAAAUGAGAAGUGAUUUGGUUCG